GCCAGACUCCUACGGGAGGCAGCAGUGGGGGAUAUUGCACAAUGGGGGGAACCCUGAUGCAGCGACGCCGCGUGAGUGAAGAAGUAUUUCGGUAUGUAAAGCUCUAUCAGCAGGGAAGAAGAAAGACGGUACCUGAGUAAGAAGCCCCGGCUAACUACGUGCCAGCAGCCGCGGUAAUACGUAGGGGGCAAGCGUUAUCCGGAUUUACUGGGUGUAAAGGGAGCGUAGACGGUAUGGCAAGUCUGAAGUGAAAGCCCCGGGCUCAACCUGGGAAUUGCUUUGGAAACUGUUAAACUAGAGUGCUGGAGAGGCAGGCGGAAUUCCUAGUGUAGCGGUGAAAUGCGUAGAUAUUAGGAGGAACACCAGUGGCGAAGGCGGCCUGCUGGACAGUAACUGACGUUGAGGCUCGAAAGUGUGGGGAGCAAACAGGAUUAGAUACCCCAGUA
rnacentral:rRNA from 1 species